UACGGAGGGUGCGAGCGUUGUCCGGAAUCAUUGGGCGUAAAGGGCGCGUAGGUGGCCUGGUCAGUUCGUGGUGAAAGCGCGGGGCUCAACUCCGCGUCGGCCAUGAAUACUGCUGGGCUUGAGCACUGUAGAGGCAGGCGGAAUUCCGGGUGUAGCGGUGGAAUGCGUAGAGAUCCGGAAGAACACCGGUGGCGAAGGCGGCCUGCUGGGCAGUGGCUGACACUGAGGCGCGAAGGCGUGGGGAGCGAACGGG
rnacentral:rRNA from 1 species